rnacentral:rRNA from 1 species
UCGUGGAGUGAUUCGUCUGCUUAAUUGCGAUAACGAACGAGACCUCGUCUUACUAAUAGCUCAAUUGAGGCCUAUAUGUAAGGUCCAGGGUUGGAGCAGGGGUUAAACCUUGUGAAGGCUUUGACGCUUUACUGGCCACUCGGAUUAGGGGAUAUCUUCUUAGAAGGACAAAUGGCUUAAGCCAAGGGAAGUCCGAGGCAAUAACA